rnacentral:lncRNA from 10 species
AAUAGAGCCGUUUCCUCCUUUCACCUUGGAGGAAGCAGCGCCUUGGUGGUGGAAGGAGCCUCUCACUGGGCUGGCUUUUGCAGGGGCCAUGGCGUCCCUCUGGAUGAAAGGCUCAGCGGAACUCUAAGUCAUUAUCGUGAUCAAGGACGAAGGAAUCGUUUCCGCGUUUUCGGUUACCCGUGGUCAACUGAGUCUGAAAAUAGCUGACUGGCACCCUUCUCUCUGGCUGGCAGCGGAUUAGCACACUGAAUCCCAUCCCUGAGAUGUCCUGGCACACAUCCUGGGCCCCUCUGUGAAGUGUUUGCCAUGGCCUCGAGCCCCUCAGGUUGAGUGCACUUGUCUGCAAAGGGCUGUGUUCUACAGCAACGUGGGACCCACGAAGGAAGCCUUAUGAUUCAUUUUUCAUCUCAUCAUUACUCGCCUUGCCUGUAUGCCAAGGCUGGGAAGCAAUGGGCCAGAGGUUUGUGCUCUGAGCAAUUCUGAAUCAUGUGGAGAAUAUGAAGGAAAAUGAGAAGUUUAAAAAUACUCCAUAGGAAAGAAAUGCCUAAUGAAUGCUUUAUGGCUGAGAAAUGAUGGAGGAAGCGAGUGAGACUGAAGAGAUGAAGAAACUGAGGCACACAGAGAGAGACCCGGACGUGGCAUUCCCAGCAGUACUCAGAAAAGGAAGAAAGUACCGGAUUCCACACUGGGAUUGAUAUGUGUGGGACAAAGGUAGCUGGUUCAGAAAUUGGAGCUGAAAACCUUGAGAAGAGGUCCCUUGGAAGUGGCAGCAAUCUGGAGGAGAGCUUUGGGUUUCCAAAGGCCACAGAAUGGGUGGGAGGUAAGUUCUGGUCAAUUUUCUUCAUACCCACAAAGAGCUGGGGAGCCUCUGGCUGGCAUCUGUGUUACCCUCAACAGCUACAGCUUCUCCAAACUAACUACCAGCCUGCUCUGGUCUUGACUGGCUCAAAUAUUCUCUUGCUUCUUCUCCCCACAUGUCUACCUGGCCAGUGUGUGUAGGCGUAAGAGAACCAGCUGGUAGUAUGAGGAUGCUGGUUAGGAAAGAUGGAGCACCAGACAGUGGAAGAGAGACAGGGUCCAAGAAAAGAGAGAAUCAGUAAAGAAAGCAGAAGCUCCAUUUCAUAGCCCUCCCUCUACCAUAUGAAAGAAAGCAAAACAAAUACAUGUCCCAAGCCAAAACUGACACAAAAACUGAUCCCCCCUGCCAAAAAAACCAUCACCACAACAAGAAAACCCCACUUUCCGGUGGUAAGGUAAAGGGAGAACAGGCAACAACAGCAAAGUGUGGGUGACCUCGUUGCACGUGGCACAAACGAUGAGCUAAGAUGGAGUUUUAGGCCAAGACAGCAGAAGGUGGCCACAGGGAUAUUUCAUGCCUUAUUCAGUGUUCACAGGUACACCUAGUGAGAACCCAUGUCUUAAAUUCUGUCCCUGAGUGUGAAGUUGAAGCAGAAGGCCCAUUAAAAAGGGCCUUUAGGAGUGCUGUGGAGAGUUGAUAAAGGUGUGAGAAUCCUGCAAUGGCUGACAUCACAAAGAGAGAACUUGAGAUCCCCUUUCAAGUCCUGGCUGAGGGUUUUGACUGGAAAAGCUGGUUUUAAACACUGACAUUAUGAAUGCUUGGGAUGUGAGUAAAACACCUGAAAUUCUUCAGCCAGUUGUGAAUAGAGGAAUAGUCCCAUUUUUUAAUGGCUUGACUUAGUCACUGAAGGUGAUUUCCUAAACCCCAGAAAAUUGUUACAAACCAUCAGACUGUGGGUGCCACAGCCCUUAGUCAGUAAAAUAGCCCCACAUGGUGGGAAAACAUUCCAAUCUCUCUCCAAAAUGGGAAUAAAGGCAUUCAACAAAAUUACUCGGACUUUAAAAACACAAUACCAUUUCUCACUUUGCGUUAGUGUAGUAACAAAUUCUAAUGGAGGUAAUUCUCAAGUAUGCAAUUGUAUAAACUUGCCUUCUGAAUGGAAAGAUUGGAAUUUAGGCAGCUGACCCCUGGCGUGAUGUUUAUGAUCAGAUCCAAGACAGGGCUGUCUGCCUGUCAUGUCCCAGUCGGUACCACCCUGCCCAGCAUCUAUGUUUGCUAAGGGUGUACAUAUACAG